UUGAAGAGUUUGAUCAUGGCUCAGAUUGAACGCUGGCGGCAGGCCUAACACAUGCAAGUCGAACGGUAACAGGAAGCAGCUUGCUGCUUUGCUGACGAGUGGCGGACGGGUGAGUAAUGUCUGGGAAACUGCCCGAUGGAGGGGGAUAACUACUGGAAACGGUAGCUAAUACCGCAUAACGUCGCAAGACCAAAGAGGGGGACCUUAGGGCCUCUUGCCAUCGGAUGUGCCCAGAUGGGAUUAGCUAGUAGGUGGGGUAAUGGCUCACCUAGGCGACGAUCCCUAGCUGGUCUGAGAGGAUGACCAGCCACACUGGAACUGAGACACGGUCCAGACUCCUACGGGAGGCAGCAGUGGGGAAUAUUGCACAAUGGGCGCAAGCCUGAUGCAGCCAUGCCGCGUGUAUGAAGAAGGCCUUCGGGUUGUAAAGUACUUUCAGCGGGGAGGAAGGGAGUAAAGUUAAUACCUUUGCUCAUUGACGUUACCCGCAGAAGAAGCACCGGCUAACUCCGUGCCAGCAGCCGCGGUAAUACGGAGGGUGCAAGCGUUAAUCGGAAUUACUGGGCGUAAAGCGCACGCAGGCGGUUUGUUAAGUCAGAUGUGAAAUCCCCGGGCUCAACCUGGGAACUGCAUCUGAUACUGGCAAGCUUGAGUCUCGUAGAGGGGGGGUAGAAUUCCAGGUGUAGCGGUGAAAUGCGUAGAGAUCUGGAGGAAUACCGGUGGCGAAGGCGGCCCCCUGGACGAAGACUGACGCUCAGGUGCGAAAGCGUGGGGAGCAAACAGGAUUAGAUACCCUGGUAGUCCACGCCGUAAACGAUGUCGACUUGGAGGUUGUGCCCUUGAGGCGUGGCUUCCGGAGCUAACGCGUUAAGUCGACCGCCUGGGGAGUACGGCCGCAAGGUUAAAACUCAAAUGAAUUGACGGGGGCCCGCACAAGCGGUGGAGCAUGUGGUUUAAUUCGAUGCAACGCGAAGAACCUUACCUGGUCUUGACAUCCACGGAAGUUUUCAGAGAUGAGAAUGUGCCUUCGGGAACCGUGAGACAGGUGCUGCAUGGCUGUCGUCAGCUCGUGUUGUGAAAUGUUGGGUUAAGUCCCGCAACGAGCGCAACCCUUAUCCUUUGUUGCCAGCGGUCCGGCCGGGAACUCAAAGGAGACUGCCAGUGAUAAACUGGAGGAAGGUGGGGAUGACGUCAAGUCAUCAUGGCCCUUACGACCAGGGCUACACACGUGCUACAAUGGCGCAUACAAAGAGAAGCGACCUCGCGAGAGCAAGCGGACCUCAUAAAGUGCGUCGUAGUCCGGAUUGGAGUCUGCAACUCGACUCCAUGAAGUCGGAAUCGCUAGUAAUCGUGGAUCAGAAUGCCACGGUGAAUACGUUCCCGGGCCUUGUACACACCGCCCGUCACACCAUGGGAGUGGGUUGCAAAAGAAGUAGGUAGCUUAACCUUCGGGAGGGCGCUUACCACUUUGUGAUUCAUGACUGGGGUGAAGUCGUAACAAGGUAACCGUAGGGAACCUGCGGUUGGAUCACCUCCUU
rnacentral:rRNA from 1 species